UGGGGAAUAUUGCACAAUGGGCGCAAGCCUGAUGCAGCAACGCCGCGUGAACGAUGAAGGUCUUCGGAUCGUAAAGUUCUGUUGCAGGGGAAGAUAAUGACGGUACCCUGUGAGGAAGCCCCGGCUAACUACGUGCCAGCAGCCGCGGUAAUACGUAGGGGGCUAGCGUUAUCCGGAUUUACUGGGCGUAAAGGGUGCGUAGGUGGUCCUUCAAGUCGGUGGUUAAAGGCUACGGCUCAACCGUAGUAAGCCGCCGAAACUGGAGGACUUGAGUGCAGGAGAGGAAAGUGGAAUUCCCAGUGUAGCGGUGAAAUGCGUAGAUAAUGGGAGGAACACCAGUAGCGAAGGCGGCUUUCUGGACUGCAACUGACACUGAGGCACGAAAGCGUGGGUAGCAAACAGG
rnacentral:rRNA from 1 species